AUGGACUCUCCUGUAGCUCCUGCCAAGAUACUGAAAGUUCCCAAGGAGAAGAAAGUUCAGAUCGGAUCGGAGGUUACAUUGGAGUGCAAUGCCACUGGCAACCCAAUCCCAUCCAUAACUUGGCUUGAAAACGGCAAUACGAUUUCCGGCGCGUCAGUGGAGGAGAC